rnacentral:siRNA from 1 species
AACCACUUGUUGGAUGGACUCCA